GAGGCGGCGGGCAAUGCCCGAGGUCAGAACCCACCCGAGAUGUACAAUAAGCAAUCCGCAGCGGCCCGUUUGGACCGUCCACAGACUAAGUGGUUGUGGGGAGCCCCAGCUCCUUAAGAUAUAGUCGGGCCCGGUGAGCAGUCACCGGGGGUUCUGCG
rnacentral:rRNA from 1 species